rnacentral:rRNA from 1 species
CCUACGGGAGGCAGCAGUGGGGAAUAUUGCACAAUGGGGGAAACCCUGAUGCAGCGACGCCGCGUGAGUGAUGAAGGACUUCGGUAUGUAAAGCUCUAUCAGCAGGGAAGAAAAUGCCGGUACCUGAGUAAGAAUCCCCGGCUAAAUACGUGCCAGCAGCCGCGGUAAUACGUAGGGGGCAAGCGUUAUCCGGAUUUACUGGGGGUAAAGGGAGCGUAGACGGCAGUGCAAGUCUGGAGUGAAAGGCGGGGGCUCAACCACCGCACUGCUCUGGAAACUGGACGGCUGGAGUGCAGGAGAGGUAAGUGGAAUUCCUAGUGUAGCGGUGAAAUGCGUAGAUAUUAGGAGGAACACCAGUGGCGAAGGCGGCUUACUGGACUGUAACUGACGUUGAGGCGCGAAAGCGUGGGGAGCAAACAGGAUUAGAUACCCCAGUAGUC